GCAAUACACGAAAGUGUGACGGGGCCAUCCCGAGUGCCGUCCGCUGAGGAUGGCUUUUCCUCAGUUUACAAAGCUGGGGGAAUAAGGAGAGGGCAAGACUGGUGUCAGCCGCCGCGGUAAUACCAGCUCUCCGAGUGGUGGGGACGCUUACUGGGCCUAAAGCAUUCGUAGCCGACUAGGCAAGUCCUCUGUUAAAUCCAGCGAUUUAAUCGUUGGGCCGCGGGGGAUACUGUUUGGUUAGGGGGCGGGAGAGGUCUACGGUAUUCUCGGGGUAGGGGUGAAAUCCUAUAAUCCCGAGGGGACCACCAGUGGCGAAGGCUGUAGACUAGAACGCGCCCGACGGUGAGGGAUGAAAGCUGGGGGAGCGAACCGGAUUAGAUACCCGGGUAGUCCCAGCUGUAAACGAUGCAGGCUAGGUGUUAGGGUGGCAAUGUGCUGCCCUAGUGCCGCAGGGAAGCUGGUAAGCCUGCCGCCUGGGAAGUACGGCCGCAAGGCUGAAACUUAA
rnacentral:rRNA from 1 species